rnacentral:tRNA from 1 species
UGGCCUGUAGCUCAAAUUGUAGAGCGCCCCUAAAAAGGGGGAGGUUGAAGGAUCAAAUCCUUCCAGGCCAA